rnacentral:rRNA from 1 species
UACGUAGGGGGGCAAGCGUUGUCCGGAAUCAUUGGGCGUAAAGCGCGUGUAGGCGGUUCGAUAAGUCUGCUGUGAAAAGUCCAGGGCUCAACCCUGGAAAGCCGGUGGAUACUGUCGGACUAGAGUGCGGAAGAGGCGAGUGGAAUUCCCGGUGUAGCGGUGAAAUGCGCAGAUAUCGGGAGGAACACCAAUUGCGAAGGCAGCUCGCUGGGACGUUACUGACGCUGAGACGCGAAAGCGUGGGGAGCAAACAGG